UAUGUCCGCCCUUGGACUCACUGUGUGUAUUAAGGUACCAAUUCUGUUUACCCUUUUGUUUGCUACAUACGGUAAUGACGUCACUACAUUGAUGCUACCGGGGAAGAAAGUCCUGUCACAACGGACAUGCGGAUUGUUGUAUGGGAUUGACUGACGGAGAAGUUGUUGCGUUUAGCGCCAGUGUGUUUGUUAAAUAAAUACGCUGUGUUUUC